rnacentral:lncRNA from 1 species
AUGGCUCCAAAAGGGCUAAAAACCCCUAGAACGAUCUAAAGAACGUCCAAAACGGACAUCCAGAAUCCCACAAACUAUCAAAAACAAACACAACAGCAGAAAAGGGCGCCCAUGCGCCAUAAUUUAGCUGAAACAGUGCAUUGAAGGGCGCCCAACGCCCUUUAGGGGCGCCCAGGCGUGGAUUCUGUAGAUAUUCUACAGAUUUUGCAGAUUUUGCAGAACUC